AACGAACGCUGGCGGCAUGCCUAACACAUGCAAGUCGAACGAGAUCUUCGGGUCUAGUGGCGCACGGGUGCGUAACGGGUGGGAAUCUGCCCUUUGGUUCGGAAUAACAGUUGGAAACGACUGCUAAUACCGGAUGAUGACGAAAGUCCAAAGAUUGAUCGCCAGAGGAUGGGCCUGCGUAGGAUUAGCUAGUUGGUGUGGUGAAGGCGCACAAAGGCGACGAUCCUUAGCUGGUAUGAGAGGAUGAUUAGGCACACUUGGACUGAGACACGGCCCAGACUCCUACGGGAGGCAGCAGUGGGAAUAUUGGACAAUGGGCGAAAGCCUGAUCAGCAAUGCCGCGUGAGUGAUGAAGGCCUUAGGGUUGUAAAGCUCUUUUACCCGGGAUGAUAAUGACAGUACCGGGAGAAUAAGCUCCGGCUAACUCCGUGCCAGCCGCCGCCGUAA
rnacentral:rRNA from 1 species